CCAGCUUGCUGGGCGGAUUAGUGGCGAACGGGUGAGUAAUACGUGAGUAACCUGCCUUUAACUCUGGGAUAAGCCUUGGAAACGGGUCUAAUACCGGAUACGACCAACCUUCGCAUGGGGUGUUGGUGGAAAGGGAUUUUGUACUGGUUUUAGAUGGGCUCACGGCCUAUCAGCUUGUUGGUGAGGUAACGGCUCACCAAGGCGACGACGGGUAGCCGGCCUGAGAGGGUGACCGGCCACACUGGGACUGAGACACGGCCCAGACUCCUACGGGAGGCAGCAGUGGGGAAUAUUGCACAAUGGGCGCAAGCCUGAUGCAGCGACGCCGCGUGAGGGAUGACGGCCUUCGGGUUGUAAACCUCUUUCAGCAGGGGAGAAGCGAAAGUGACGGUACCUGCAGAAGAAGCGCCGGCUAACUACGUGCCAGCAGCCGCGGUAAUACGUAGGGCGCGAGCGUUGUCCGGAAUUAUUGGGCGUAAAGAGCUUGUAGGCGGUUUGUCGCGUCUGCUGUGAAAGCCCGGGGCUUAACCCCGGGUUUGCAGUGGGUACGGGCAGACUAGAGUGCAGUAGGGGAGACUGGAAUUCCUGGUGUAGCGGUGAAAUGCGCAGAUAUCAGGAGGAACACCAAUGGCGAAGGCAGGUCUCUGGGCUGUAACUGACGCUGAGAAGCGAAAGCAUGGGGAGCAAACAGGAUUAGAUACCCUGGUAGUCCAUGCCGUAAACGUUGGGCACUAGGUGUGGGGAACAUUCCACGUUUUCCGCGCCGUAGCUAACGCAUUAAGUGCCCCGCCUGGGGAGUACGGCCGCAAGGCUAAAACUCAAAGAAAUUGACGGGGGCCCGCACAAGCGGCGGAGCAUGCGGAUUAAUUCGAUGCAACGCGAAGAACCUUACCAAGGCUUGACAUAUACUAGACCGCCUCAGAGAUGGGGUUUCCCUUCGGGGCUGGUAUACAGGUGGUGCAUGGUUGUCGUCAGCUCGUGUCGUGAGAUGUUGGGUUAAGUCCCGCAACGAGCGCAACCCUCGUUCUAUGUUGCCAGCACGUAAUGGUGGGGACUCAUAGGAGACUGCCGGGGUUAACUCGGAGGAAGGUGGGGAUGACGUCAAAUCAUCAUGCCCCUUAUGUCUUGGGCUUCACGCAUGCUACAAUGGCCGGUACAAAGGGUUGCGAUACUGUGAGGUUGAGCUAAUCCCAAAAAGCCGGUCUCAGUUCGGAUUGGGGUCUGCAACUCGACCCCAUGAAGUCGGAGUCGCUAGUAAUCGCGGAUCAGCAACGCUGCGGUGAAUACGUUCCCGGGCCUUGUACACACCGCCCGUCAAGUCACGAAAGUUGGUAACACCCGAAGCCGAUGGCCUAACCC
rnacentral:rRNA from 1 species